GACGAACGCUGGCGGCGUGCUUAACACAUGCAAGUCGAACGGAAAGGCCCUUCGGGGUACUCGAGUGGCGAACGGGUGAGUCACACGUGGGUGAUCUGCCCUGCACUUUGGGAUAAGCCUGGGAAACUGGGUCUAAUACCGAAUAUGAUCAUCGGCUUCAUGGUCGGUGGUGGAAAGCUUUUGCGGUGUGGGAUGGGCCCGCGGCCUAUCAGCUUGUUGGUGGGGUAAUGGCCUACCAAGGCGACGACGGGUAGCCGGCCUGAGAGGGUGACCGGCCACACUGGGACUGAGAUACGGCCCAGACUCCUACGGGAGGCAGCAGUGGGGAAUAUUGCACAAUGGGCGCAAGCCUGAUGCAGCGACGCCGCGUGAGGGAUGACGGCCUUCGGGUUGUAAACCUCUUUCAGCACAGACGAAGCGCAAGUGACGGUAUGUGCAGAAGAAGGACCGGCCAACUACGUG
rnacentral:rRNA from 1 species